rnacentral:rRNA from 1 species
UACGAAGGGGGCUAGCGUUGUUCGGAAUCACUGGGCGUAAAGCGCACGCAGGCGGAUCGUUAAGUCAGGGGUGAAAUGCCGAGGCUCAACCUCGGAACUGCCUUUGAUACUGGCGAUCUUAGAGUCCGGGAGAGGUGAGUGGAACUCCGAGUGUAGAGGUGAAAAUUCGUAGAUAUUCGGAAGAACACCAGUGGCGAAGGCGGCUCACUGGUCCGGUACUGACGCUGAGGUGCGAAAGCGUGGGGAGCAACAGG